rnacentral:rRNA from 1 species
GACGUAGGGUGCAAGCGUUGUCCGGAUUUAUGGCGUAAAGAGCUCGUAGGCGGCUCGUCGCGUCGACCGUGAAAACUUGGGGCCUUAACCCCAAGCCUGCGGUUGAUACGGGCGGGCUAGAGUUCGGUGAGGGGAGACGUGGAAUUCCUGGUGUAGCGGUGAAAUGCGCAGAUAUCAGGAGGAACACCGGUGGCGAAGGCGGGUCGUCUGGGCCGAUACUGACACUGAGACACGAAGGCCAGGGGAGCAAACGGG